UACGUAGGGGGCAAGCGUUGUCCGGAUUUAUUGGGCGUAAGGAGCGUGUAGGCGGCCGCACAGGUCCGUUGUGAAAACUGGAGGCUUAACCUUCAGACGUCGAUGGAAACCGUGCGGCUAGAGUCCGGAAGAGGAGAAUGGAAUUCCUGGUGUAGCGGUGAAAUGCGCAGAUAUCAGGAAGAACACCCGUGGCUAAGGCGGUUCUCUAGUACGGUACUGACGCUGAGACGCGAAAGCGUGGGGAGCGAACAGG
rnacentral:rRNA from 1 species